ACGCACGCUGGCGGCGUGCUUAGCACAUGCCAGUCGAACGGAAAGGCCCUGCUUUUGUGGGGUGCUCGAGUGGCGAACGGGUGAGUAACACGUGAGUAACCUGCCCUUGACUUUGGGAUAACUUCAGGAAACUGGGGCUAAUACCGGAUAGGAGCUCCUGCUGCAUGGUGGGGGUUGGAAAGUUUCGGCGGUUGGGGAUGGACUCGCGGCUUAUCAGCUUGUUGGUGGGGGAGUGGCUUACCAAGGCUUUGACGGGUAGCCGGCCUGAGAGGGUGACCGGCCACAUUGGGACUGAGAUACGGCCCAGACUCCUACGGGAGGCAGCAGUGGGGAAUAUUGCACAAUGGGCGGAAGCCUGAUGCAGCAACGCCGCGUGCGGGAUGACGGCCUUCGGGUUGUAAACCGCUUUCGCCUGUGACGAAGCGUGAGUGACGGUAAUGGGUAAAGAAGCACCGGCUAACUACGUG
rnacentral:rRNA from 1 species